AGCGAACACAAGGCCAUCGACAAGCCCUGAGUGUGCUACGGAUCAACAAAAUUGUGGUAAAUCCCACGUCUCUGUAAAGUAGUAUGCUAUGCAGUCAGGUCUAUAACUUUUUAAAGUUUUAUGUUUAAGACCAGAAAAUAUCUGGACAAGGGGGUCUUCAAGAACUGUGAAAUAGAUUUGUUUCAAAGUCAAACUAUCAAUGUCCGUCAUGG